rnacentral:rRNA from 1 species
UCGAUUUGGAGUUUGUUGCCCUGAGUGAUGGGCUCCGAAGCUAACGCGAUAAAUCGACCGCCUGGGGAGUACGGCCGCAAGGUUAAAACUCAAAUGAAUUGACGGGGGCCCGCACAAGCGGUGGAGCAUGUGGUUUAAUUCGAUGCAACGCGAAGAACCUUACCUGGUCUUGACAUCCACAGAAUCUUGCAGAGAUGCGAGAGUGCCUUCGGGAACUGUGAGACAGGUGCUGCAUGGCUGUCGUCAGCUCGUGUUGUGAAAUGUUGGGUUAAGUCCCGCAACGAGCGCAACCCUUAUCCUUUGUUGCCAUCGGUUUGGCCGGGAACUCAAAGGAGACUGCCGUUGAUAAAGCGGAGGAAGGUGG